CUACUGUGAUGUCAUGACCUCUGAGUACUCAGAAAUUCUUGGAUAUUCUAAGAGCUAUCCACCACUCCCCAAUCCAAGCCUAAUAAUACACAUUAUUCUGUCUUAAUGUAAUGUAGCUAUUCUGAUGUAAGGAGUGGUGCUAGACUCUGUAUAUCCAAACCCUAAAGCUACUGGUUUUUAAACAGACAUCUAUUUCUGAGUUGGGGCUCAAGGGCUUAGGAAAAGAGAAAACUCUUAAUUAGAUUUCCUAAUUCCUUGGGGGGGGGGGUAGAAGGAAAGGUAGAUGAGACAGAGAAAGAGAGAGGCAUUGAGACAGACAGACAGAUGGAGGAGAAAGUAAGGGGGGAGAGACACCUUGACAGAUGGCAGUAUAACAAAUACCAACAAUGAGACUAGAGGUCUGAGUUUGAAUUGUAGUUUUGCCAUGAUUUCCCUAUGACCCUGAGUAAUUCAAGACACAUUUGUUAAACACCUACUACUAAGAACCAGUCCCAGGAUGCAAAGCCAAGGAGACACAAAGAUGAGUUUAUUAUGGGAACAUCAAGAAGGACAUCACAAGUAAUGGACAUCACAAAUUAAUGGAAACAAAGGGGCAGCUAGGUAGCUGACAGAAUGCCAGUCCUGGAGUCAGAGGUCCUGGAUUCAAAGCUGGCCUCAGACACUUCCUACCUGUGUGACCCUGGCCAAGCAUUUUAACCCUGAUUGCUUAGCUCUUGCCACUUUUCUUUCUAAGACAGAAGGUCUUGCACAAUCUUCCUAAGCCCAGGCAGAUCUAUGAUUUCACUGGAUUCUCAAAACAGCCUUGUGAGGAAGACGCAGUGAGGAUUAUUAUCCCUAAUUGACAAAUGAAGAACCUGAGGCUCUGAGAGAUGAAGUGCCCAGUACAAAUGAGGCUGGAAAUGCCCAUCCAAUUAUGAACAUAAUCCCUCCAAAAUUGAUAUUUAAAUGUUCUCAGUGUAAGAAAUGACACAUGCACUAUACCACGGAUGAGCGAAACGAGGAGGAAACAGACUUAGAGAGGGGAAGAAACUUGUCUAAGAGCACCCAAGGUAUGAAGUAGAAGACCCAAGAUUCCAACUCUGGUCUUCUGCAUGUCUAGGAUCCAGUGCCCUUUCCAUCAUAGCCUGUGGACACUCUCUGCAUGAGUGUUCUUCCCACCAUGUCACUGAAAUACCACAUUUGAUAUUUGAUUCCAAGAAAGAAGUCUCAAAUUGCACUGUCCAGUAUAAAUUGAGGAAAUUGAUGACUAUAAAUACCUCUGGGAGGAAGAUGUCAGUGCAAGAAAUAAUACUUAGUGGCUCAAAUAAUGGCAAAGUCUUACACUGGAGUCAGGACUCUAUAAAUCUUUAUGGAAAAGAAUUAGACUGUGACCAGAAAUCCCAUCUCUCCGCUCCAGUGGUGGCACAUUCUGAAAAUCCAGGAGCAAAGCCUGGGCUAUGAAUGACAGAGGGCUCUAUUCUGGUGGAAACGAAGGGGCCUUAAAAACCGACACACUGAAGUCUCCUGUUAUAAAAAUUACUCCUAUUUGUUCAUUAACAAAGCUGUUCCUUAGCUCAUCCCUGCCAUAACCUGCUCUAUUCAAAACCAUAUGGGAAAGGACAUUAAAUAACCAGCGCAAACCAUAGGCUUGUGGUCUUAGUGUUCUGCACUGCACAGCCCUAUUCAUCCUGCCCCCUCCCUUGUUUAAUCUAUCAUUAAGAUGCAGUGACCCUACACUAAAUUUAAAACAGAUCCUUCCUUCCUCCCAUGCCUAAAUUCACAUACUUCUCGAGAUGGGGAUGCCCUCGAGUAUUAGCGACUCGACAGGGUUUCUCUAAUCUUGCCUCUCAACUAUGUCACGCUGGAGAGCCAAGAAAUUGCUGUUUUACAUCUUCACGCCAAAGGUUUCCAUAAUAAUAAUUUUUUAAAAGACUAUAUAAUUUACUUAAUAAGAUAAAGGGGCAAAAUCUCCACUUAACAAGUAUUUGACUGGGCAUAGUCAACAUGGUCUGUGUUGACACUGCCAUUCGUAGUCCCUGUUGUAAAAAAUUAACACUCUUGUAUUAUUUCAUCCCCAUUGCUGGCCAUGGGCCCCAGAAUUUUAAAUCAUGAUCCUAUUGUCAAACGUUGGAUGAUCUUAAUUAAGGAAAAAAUGUCACAGGCAUAUCAAUCAAUGAAAAGGGAACAUUUUUACCUUCAGCAUGUUCUUUAUUAAAAAUUAUCUGUGAAUUUGAAAGAUUGCCCAUAUUAGGUUUUGUUUGGUUUUGUUUGCAUUUCUAAACUAUAUGCCAGUUGGGAGUGAACAAAAUUCCAGGCCAAUGUAAGUGAUGAUACACAAAGAAUAA